GGCCCUAUCGUCUAGAGGCCUAGGACAUCAGGUUCUCAUCCUGAAAACCGGGAUUCGAAUUCCCGUAGGGUCA
rnacentral:tRNA from 1 species